GGUCUGUGGUGACUUCCAAAGGCCUUGGAAGGAGGACAGAAAAUAGGACAAAGAAAGGGCUUUUCCCAGCUAAUAACCUCUUUCAUGCAGACUUCUGAGAUACAGCAGGGGCUUGGAUGAACAUUCCCACCCACCGCUUCCUGUCUCUCAGAGGCCUGGUCAUGCUGCAUGUCUUUGCAUUUAUUGAGAGAUUCUGGGGACUCCUUGAAGAAGAACAAGACCUUCCAGAAACUCUAUCUGUUUUAGCCUGGCAAACACAGCAAAGGAAUUUUCAGUCACUAUAAACAACCUCUUCUGUGGACCCCACCUGUCGUGAGCGCACACAACGCUAGGAAUGUGACUUGGGACAUUCUCAAGCAAGCUGUGGGGGACAUCUGUUGUUGUGUUGCCCACUUCCUGCUGCCCGAUUUAGCUCUGCAGGAAUUACCCACCCUGCUUUCAGCCAUGUGUUUUGCCUAAUGCUGACUGACCUCUGUGUUGGAUCUGGCUGUGAGUCACAGGGGCAAGGCCCAAGUCACCUGGGGGAAGUCCCUGUGUCUGGCCACAGUGGCUAGUUAGGGAAUGGCAGCAGGGCAUGAGCCAAAGCCUGCCCAGAAGCCCCCUGGGGUUUUCUUUGGUUCAUGUAAUGAUGGAGCUGUUGGUCCCUCUAGAUUUGAACGUGAGGAGUCAUAGGAUCUGGGCUGACUGAGAAGAGAGGUCAGAUCUGAGAAGAAGGCCCAUGGGUGACAGACCACAGCCCUGAGUCGAGAUAGAAGCAGGACUCUGAUGCUUUCUCUGACCUGCAGCUACGGCCG
rnacentral:lncRNA from 1 species